ensembl:lncRNA
UGCUCAGAGGGCUUGUACAGGGACGUGAUGUUGGAGAACUACAGGAACCUGGUCUCCCUGGGGGAAAGAUCCCUGGACUGUGGAAAGUGAAGUGAAUAUAGGAGAACAUCCAGACAGGAAGCCCUUCAGCUGGAUUUGUAAUCAAGGAAUUAUCACCAAUAGAGGACAUAAUAAAGGAGAAUUGUGCCACCUGGUAAUACUGGAGAGAAAUGAAAGUCAUGGCAUCCAGGAUUUUGAUCUCAAGGAAGUCUGGGAAAAUAUGCAUGAGUUAGAGACUCAGUGGGAGUAUGAUGCAAGAAUUACAAAGAAGUGCCUUUGACCCAUGACAAAAAUCUCACUUGUGGAAAAGACUGGCAACUUAAUCAGUCCUCAGUUACUCUUCCUGAAAAGCAGAGUGUUUCUGUAAGAAAUAAUAUGUACCAGUAUUUCAUGCCUGAGGAGCCAUUUAUGAGGAAUUCGUUAAAACUGGGUGGUAACAGAAGUGGUUCUGGAACCAGUACAUAA